rnacentral:tRNA from 1 species
AGUAAGGUCAGCUAAGUAAGCUUUCGGGCCCAUACCCCGGACAUGUUGGUUAGAAUCCUUCCCCUACUA